UACGAAGGGGGCUAGCGUUGCUCGGAAUGACUGGGCGUAAAGGGCGCGUAGGCGGCGCAGUUAGUCAGGCGUGAAAUUCCUGGGCUCAACCUGGGGACUGCGCUUGAUACGGCUGUGCUUGAGGAUGGAAGAGGCUCGCGGAAUUCCCAGUGUAGAGGUGAAAAUUCGUAGAUAUUGGGAAGAACACCGGUGGCGAAGGCGGCGAGCUGGUCCAUUACUGACGCUGAGGCGCGACAGCGUGGGGGAGCAAACAGG
rnacentral:rRNA from 1 species